CCUGUCCCUAGAGGUGGUACAAGUGUGGCUGUUGUGUAACAUGUGUUUUCAGUUGGUGACAGAGAGGCUAUGUCUAUGCUCAGCUCAGUGUUCCGAUCUAUUAAUACCUGAAUUAUUAGCAGCCUAACAUG